UUCUGCCUUGCAGAUUUUGUGCGUCACUUCCUUAUUGUAUUUCGCAAAUUCGAGCGCGGUAUGAUUUCGUUUCAUGUGGAAAGGAAAGGCUAGAACCAGCCCGUGUAUAUUUCGUAAAGUUCUGUUGUAGCUAAACUAAUUAUAUCUGCUGUUAAUUUCAAAAUGAGUGAAGACCCUGACUCUCCUCCCGAAAGGGAAAUGAAGGAUUUUCAGUUCCGGCAAAUGAAGAAAACCCGUGUCUUUGAUUCACCUGAUGACCUGCCGAAGGAUAGAUCAAGUCUGCUCGCCAUCUCCAACAAAUUUGGACUGACAUUUGUCGGACUAGACAGAAAGAUCAAGGUGUACCUCACAGGGGACAUCCUAGCUUCAGACAAAGUUGAUGGAAACUCCAAUGAAAUAGUUGAGGGGAUAGCAGCCUUAGCUGAUGUUCAUGUGGAGUUGCCUGUGCACAACCUGGGACUCAGCAGUGAUGAGCUCACCCUGUCAGUCAGUGGCAUGUCAGAAGCAUCAGGCCUGUCACUGGCCUUCUAUGACGUCCGCACCUUCAUCAACAAGGCCCGACUGCAGAAGUUGCCAUUUGCGACUCUGCAACUGAGAGCCGGCCUGGGCAUUAUUGUGCAGGACCUCAAAUGGAACCCUGUGCAGGUGUCCAUGCUGGCCACCUGUCUGUCUGACGGCAGCAUGAUGGUGCUGGAGGUCACAGACAGCGUCACAGUGCAGGCCCAGCUACCCGCCACGGCGGGCAUCACCUGUGUAUGCUGGAGUCCCAAAGGAAAGCAAGUAGCAGCAGGAAAAAUGAAUGCAACAGUCAGUCAGUAUACUCCAGGGCUUCAGGAGAAGAAAGUGAUCCCCUGCCCAAGCUUCUACAGCUCUGACAACCCUGUCAAAGUGCUGGAUGUGCAGUGGCUGAGUACGUUUGUGUUUGCUGUGGCAUAUGCAGCAGCCGACGGCUGUCCGGAAACACCUCCUGAACUGGUGGUGAUCUCCCUCCCUACAAAGACAGAGAAGAGGGAGGAGAGGUACCUGAACUUCAACGACCCGGUGUACGGCACCUGCACAGAGAGACAGCACCACUACUUCCUCAGCCACAUAGAGGACUGGGAUGUUGUUCUUGCCGCAUCAGCAGCCUCCAUUGAAGUCAGUGUCAUCGCCAAGCAAGAAGAUAAGACCAACUGGGAGCUGUGGCUGCUGGAGGAUGCCAGCAGGGGAGAGCUGCCUGUCUCUCAGAAUAACGACGACACGCUGCCCCUGGGCCUGGCCAUCGACUACACCAGCCAGCAGGAUAUCCACAUCACCGAUGAGAAGACUUUGCCCCCGGCGCCCACUCUGUUGCUGCUGUCUACAGACGGAGUGCUGUGCCCCUUUUCACUGCUCAACUUCAACCCUGGGGUCAAGCAGCUGGUCGCUGCCCCCACCAGCCUGGCCCUGGACGGAGAGAGACUGCCCCCUGCAGGAUCUGCAGCUCCCCCACCCCCUUACCCUACCUCCUCUCUCCCAUCAGCCCCGGCGGCGUUCCCUCCGCUCCGCCUUCCCUUGGCCACCACACCAAACCCUCCUCCCCCUGUCUCCUCCCCUGCCUCUGUUUCACUGUUCACUGCAGCCCCAGCUCCAGCCUCCUCAUCCGGCUUCUCGUUCUCCAUGCCCCCCUCUUCCACUGCUCCCCCCGCCUUCUUUCUGGGGGGCUCUACGGCCUUCAGCGCGAGCGCAGCCUUGGGCACCUCGGGUAGCUUCUCCUUCUCCUCCAAGCCCCUGACAGAGACCCCAGCCGCAGCUUCGGCCUUCUCCGUCAGUGCCCCCAAACUUCCAGUGGUCGAAAUGGCUCCAGUUCCGGCCCCCACUCCAAAGCCCAUCCCCCAGCGCCUGGCCACCGCCUCCCCCAUCAUGGUGCUCCGAGGCACCCCCGAGCCAACCACUCCCGCUGUGAAGAUGAACCUCAAUGACAGAUUCCUGGCAGUAGACACCCUUGCUGCAGCUCCGGCCUCCCAGCCCUUCUCCUUCAACUCCACACCCAAAGCUGCCUUCUCUGAGCCCAGCAGCCAUUCCGCUCCUCUGCCCAUAGUCACCAAGUCUGCAGCCAUGCCAGGCCCAGUCCAAACCGGUACACCCUCCACGGUUGUACAGAAAUGUUCCCCAGCCACCCAGACAAGUGCACCCACACCACAGGCAGCGCUGAGUGUGAAUGCCCUGGAAAGGCAGCUGCAGCAGAGGAAGGGCUCAGACCCAGUCAUGGCUGGAAUACUGGAGGAGAUCGCCCACUUCCAGAAGGAGUUGGAUGACCUGAAGGCACGCAGCCACAAGGCAGACUUCAGAGUGGGCACCACAGAGGAGAUGAAGGAGCUGAGGAAGGAGUCUGAGGACUUCCACGUCUUCACCCUGGAGAUCAAAGACACCACUGAGUCUCUCCACGGGGACAUCAGCACUCUGAAGACCACCAUGCUGGAGGGCUUUGCUGGGGCGGAGGACGCAAAGGCCCAGAGUGAGCUCAACAGACACCGGGGCUACCUGCAGCUGCUGUACAAGAAACCACUGGACCCACGCAGUGAAGACCAACUCAAGGAGAUCCGCAGGCUGUACCAGUAUGUAAAGUUUGCUGUGGAGGAUGUGAACGACGUGUUGGAUCUGGAGUGGGAGAAACAUCUGGAGAAGAAGAAGAAACAGAAACACAUGAUUGUCCCAGAGAGGGAGGCUCUAUUCACAGCCCUGGCCAACAACCUGGACAUCAUCAACCAGCAGAAGCAGAGGCUGGACACACUGGUCAAAGACCUCCACGCCCUGCGGCUCUACAACAAGACUGCAGCCUGGAGCACUCCUGCCCCCAGCCAGCCCUGCCAUCCUGCUGCUACCACCCCCACUGAACAGGGUUUGGACAACGAGCUGGAGAGUUUGAGGGAUGCACUCCUGAAAGCCAGUCUGGAGACUAUUCCCAAGACCACCUCGAAAUCGCCAGCCAAAAUGUCUCCGAUGAAGCAGUCUCAGCUGCGUAACUUUCUCUCCAAAAGGCAGACACCACCAGUCCGCUCCACCGCUCCAGUCAACCUGUCCCGCUCGGCCUUCCUCUCUCCCAAAUACUACGCAGACCUGGACGAUGUGAGCUCCACCUCCUCCCUGUCUCAGGCCCUAGACCCAGAAUACUCCCAUUAUUUUGCAGAGGAAGAACCAGAACCAGAGCCUGAGCCUGCCCCCCUUCCCAUGCUCCCCCUCUCUAUGCCCCGCCACCCCACGGUGGUACGCACCCCCUCCAUAGCCCCGGGGUUUGGGGCCAUCCAGUCCACUCCCUUCAGCAAGGUGCGCCAAGGCCUGGGCCUCAGCCCCAUCAUGAGCCCAGUUCCGACCAAUAAGAUCAACAUGGGAGGUGCCGACAGCACGGCACUAGCCACUAAGACGGUGAAGCACGGAGCCCCGCCUACUGAGAAGGCCACACCCGUCCCCCUUCCUGCCCAACAGGCUGCUGCUAAAGCCGCUUUCCUCAGACAAAUGGCCAAUCAGAAACCAGCAGUCAGUGGCUCUCUGACAGAGUCCACCCUGAAGACUGUUCCCCAGGUGGUCAACGUACAGGAGCUCAAUGACAAAGGAUUGCCACCGCCUGUCUCCACUGUGAUCAGCUCCUCAGUCCCAGCCCCGGUCGGUCAGGUUGUUCAGCAGGUUUUGGCUACAGUGGCCAACACCAACCAGGCCAAACGAAAUUCUACUCAAGGCAUACUGAAGGUGUCCGCUGAGAGUGUCUGCUCAGCUUCCCCCCAGGGUUUUGUGUUUGGCGGACCCCCUAAAGCUGAUGCCCUAGUCUCCCUGCCCCCCUCCAGCUCAGCCCCGUCACUGGGGGAGCAGAGCAGCAAAGCCUUCUCCUUCAUCGCAGCGUCUGCCGGGGGCUUCAGUUUCUCCUCUGCGCCCCAAGGAGCUCCACCAGUAAAGGAUGUGAGUAAAUUCUCCUUCAGCAGCGCUGGCGGCAGCACAGGCAAGAUGAUGUUUGGCUCCUCUACCGGGGAGGAACCCUUCUCCUUCACCCCCAAAUCCACCUCCCCCGCCCUGGGGGCCAACGGCUCCCCCACCCCUCUUCCCAGCAUGUCAGGCGAGCCUGUGAAGCCCACCUCCAUCACCCCCACCCUCAGAGUGGAGCCCCAGGCCCCCAAGGUGGUAGGAGGAGAGACCCUGGGGAGUUUCUCAGGUCUACGUGUUGGCCAGGGGGAUGAAGAGAAGCCCUCAGCGGCCGCGUUUAGCUUUGGUCAGCCGGACAACGGAGCGGCGCUAGGGUUAGGUACGGGGGCAGCCCAGUUUAGUUUUGGGUUGGCCCUCCAGCAAGGGAAGCUAGCCGAGGCUGCAUUUGGUGAGGCAGAUUCUACCCUGACAGACUUAUCCAAGGCUGCAUUUAAGCCUCCCGAACCAGCCGCCCUGUCUGUCACUAAACCUGUGUUCUCAACAUCAGCAGCCACCUCCUUCAGCAGCCUCCUAGCGGCACCCCUCUCUUCCCCCUCAACCACCCUGGAGAAUGAGCACCACAAAACCCCCACCACCCCGGCAGACUCCACUCCACCCCUAGAGCCUUCUUCCUCACAGCCCAGCCCCUCCGUCAGCCCCCCUAUCGCUGAGCCUGAGGUUACUACCUCCCCAGAGUCCUCUGUCACCCCCACCCCUACCAUCCCUGAAAAAGCCCCAACGCCCCCAGCUCCCCCCGCCACCUCUACCACCUCUUUCCCCCCUGCCUCCAUCACCCCACCAGCCCAGGCAGCCCCAAGCACCACCCCAGAGCCUGUCCAUGAGUCCAUGCCUGCCCCUGAGGCCUCACCACCCGCAAUCACCCCCACCCCGGAGGCCCCACCACUAGCCUACCCGGCCCCCAGCUCAGACAAACCUGGCUCCAUCUUCACCCAGCCACCGGCCGUCAUCGCAGUUAGCACAACUGUAGCCGUCACCAGUCUCACCCCGGUCAUCAACACUGCAGCCCCCGCCUCCACCACCCCUACCAACUCCAACUCUGUAUUUGGGCAGCCUGCUCCAGCCUCAGCGGCUGCCGGAGGCUUUGGUUCCACCGGCUUCGGUGCUCCCCUUGCUACAGGCGCAGCAGCUGGCUUCGGGAAACCUGUAUUCGGACAGACAGUAGGCGGGUUUGGCCAGCCUGCUGCUAAUGUAGCCGGUGGCUUCGGUUUUGGCCAGUCUGCAUUUGGGGCCAACCCCGGAUUUGGACAGCCCGCAGUGGCCUCCCCUGCUGCAGUUGCCAGUACCGCUGCUAGUGGAGGUGGUUUGUUUGGAGCCCUCAGUGUCAGCAAUGCAAGUGGCUUUUCCUUUGGCUCCCCCAGCGCCAGUACGGCCAGCAGUACGGGCACAGGCCUGUUUGGGCAGCCGAGCGCCACCCCGGCCUUCGGGCAGCAGAGUGCUGGGUUUGGACAAGGCUCUGCAUUUGGAAGCAACACCACCACUACAUCCUCCACUGGUUUCAGCUUUGGACAGACUGCAGCUUUCGGAAGCUCCUCCACUAACUCAGUGUUUGGUCAACAGCCCAGUGGUGGGAGUGUCUUUGGACAGCAACCAUCCAGUGGUGUGGGUCUGUUUGGGUCUAGCUCUGCCACGGUAGCAGGCUCCCAGCAGGCAGGGGGAGGCUUCUUCAGUGGCCUGGGGGGGAAACCCAGUGAGGACGCCGCCAACAAGAACCCCUUCGGCACGACCGCCGCCACCGGGGGCUUCAGUCAGCCCAACCAGACAGGAGGACCCACCCUGUUUGGGAACAGCGGGGCCAAAACCUUUGGCUUUGGCUCUCCAGCAUCAGCAUUCGGAGGGGGGGAGCAGACGGCCAGUGGGACCUUUAGCACGGGAGGCGGGAGCGUGGCCGCUCAGGGGUUCGGCUCCUUCUCCACCCCUGCCAAACAGACAGGUGGUUUUGGGAGCGCCCCUGUGUUCGGUAGCCCCCCUGCUUUUGGGGGCUCCCCGGCUUUUGGGGGGGCAGCAGCGUUUGGCUCGGCACCCUCUUUUAGCAGUCCCAUGGGCUCCUCAGCCAGCAAGGUGUUUGGAGAGGGAACGGCAGCCGCCAACGUGGGAGGAUUCGGCUUUGCCUCCACUCAACAAAGCACACCGUCGUUUGGUGCACUGGCCAACCAGAGUGCCCCGUCCUUUGGUAACCUGGCCCAGCAGCAGCAGGGGUCAGGGUUCGGAGCUCCUCAGCUCAGCGGCUUCUCUGCGUUCGGACAGCAGGGAGGAGGAGGCUUUGGGUCUGCUGGUGGAUUUGGGUCCAAUCAAUCUUCUCAAAUGUUUGGAGCCAGUUCGGGUUGGAGAAGCUAGUUUUUGUAGACCCCCCCCCCCCCCCCCAUUGGCAAGUGCACCCAUGCUGUGUGUGGCCAGUCAACACUGCUCUCUGCAAUCAAGCUCUCUGAGUAGACGUCUCUUAAAGGGGGAAGGGUGGAUGGAGAGGGUGGGUGGGAUGGUUGAGAUGACAGGUCAAAACUAGUUGUAUAGUAUGGAACUGACCUUACAGACCAUCGCAUAAGCUUACGUGAAGUACGUUAGUGGCCAACUAAAAUGUGGAAUGUGUAGUUGGAUUAAUUAAUUGGCAUUUUGUGUAUCAAUUUUUUUUAAAUCAGUACAGUAAUUAUUUAUUAAGUUUAUCAUCGACUAGGAAACAUCUCUAAGGGCACCUAAUGUAGCAAAAUCAAAUAAAAGGUUUUGGUCAUAAUUCAAUAAUAAAUGUAUCAUGAACUUUCUUGGAAUAACACCUGUAUUCAUAUGACAUAGAAUACUGUUUGUAUAUAUCUGUUAUCCACUGUGGACUGUAACUCUAGUGUAGAUUUAUGUUCAUCCAUCUGGACUUUGCUUUGCUCUAUAAAAUAGUAAUGAAGCCUUGUUGUUUGCACUUUGAAUCAGGGAAAAGUUCUAUGCUUUCAUUUGAAGUUUUAAGAUAUCAUAUUUUCCAAGCUUUAGCAAUUAUGAUAAGAAACAUGUCCUCUGUUUCUCAAAACUCGUGUAUUUUCUUAGUAAAGAAAGUUUUUUUUUUAAAUACUGUAAUCAGUAGCUGACUCUAGGCAAGACUUGGACAGGUCGUUGAUAAAAGUAUCCUCUCUUGAUUGCAUACAAUGAACUGAAAUAUUAGGAAAAAAUGUAUGCUGCUUUUUAAAAUCCAUACUGCUGGAACCCCCUAUUCCUAUAAAUGUGUAUAUUUUAUACAUGGAAAAUGGGAAAUAAACUUGGCAAUUCUAAAAUCUGUAUCUAAUGUAGUCCCUUUCUUUUUUUUGGCAUCCUACUGAUGAUGAGCACUAAUUGAUCGCCUGUGUUGUUUUAAUGAUGACAGCCUCUGGCUAUUUUCCUCUUGCCUUUGUGUCUGGCUGUGUGCUUAUUAAACAGAGAUUUCAUUUACGAUUAGCCUACUGUUUAAAAGGCCCAACAAUUAGACCUCUGGACUAAAUGUUGAUGUAUUUAAUGAGUCAACCUUUGAUUAAAAGUAUUUGAGUCAUUAGUCCAGAGAAAAGAGGUGCUGAGGGGUUUUGUCUAUGGCGUUAGCAGGCCUGUUAAUGUAAUAAAUGUAAUCAUUUUAACGCAGCAUGGAGAAAGGUAAGGAAGCUCUGGGCUAUGUUUAGACAGUGAUGGGGGCUUUGCUAGCUGCUAAUUAGCAUACCAUCUUUGACGUGGAGCAGCCUUCGUUUUGGUUUUGUAGCCCUCUCCUUCAUCAAGGAAUUCACUGGCCAUUAUUAAUUAAUAGACAUUUGGAUGUAAGCCUAAGACAUUGCAGGAAUGAGGGUAUAUUGAAUAGAGGGGUGCUGGUCUUGUGUAGUGGCAUCUUUUCUUUGGCAUGUGGCUGUCAUCAGAUUACCAUCAAUGGUCACCGCCAUGGAGAAUGUCACUGUCACCCUGUCCCCUCUGGUGUGCCCGGCGAUGGAUGGAAAUGUUGCAGGCCCGCUGGCCCUGCCAAUCAGACACUGAAGUGGUUGGGGAAUGUUGGGUUCACAACAUGUGACCAAGAGUCCUCGCUUCCCACUGUAACAGUGAAAUUCUCCUCCCAGGCCCGCUAUGAUAUGAUUGGUCACACACACUGUGUUCAGGGCAGCUAAUAUUAGAGAUGGAUGACAGUGUUAUUAGAGGUGGGCAAGACUAGAGAGAGGGAGUUACAUUUGUAUUGGGCUUCUGGAUGUUUUUCUACCGCUUGUCCUUCAUACUGAUGUAUGUUUUCCCGGUUCAGGGAGGCACAGUGCGUGUGUGAAAUGUAAAUCAUAGGUAUAUAUAUGUGGAAUAGCUGAUACGUUUUGAUGACUCACUUGGCAAUGCAUUAUAGAUUUUGCGACGCAGCCUGUCAUGGAGCUAAAACUCUGCACUGAUGUGAUUUGUAGCUAAAGAGGUUAAGCUGAAGAGGUUUUCAGCACAGUACCCUCUCUCCUUCCCACAAUUGACUCAUUUGAACAUGUCAAGGACCGUCUACUUGGUGUUGUAGCUGUGCAGCACUGACUCAUACUCCCGUGUCACGUUGUGCUCAACAAUGACAACUCCGAGUGCAGCACUGUCUUCGCUCUCUUUUCUCGCCGUCAGUGCAUCGCCCUGGCAGAGGGAGCAGGCCAGUCACACAGACACUCGCGGGGAUGGCAGCUGUUUGAGGAAUCCAGAUAAAAAGAACCAUUCUGUUUCUCUCUACCUCUCUUUUUACGGAGGGAUGAUUGGCAUUGUUCUCGCUGCUUUUGUCGGUCCGGCCUUUACAACUCACUGGCUCGUCUACAAGCCGUCUGAGACUGUAAUGCAGUCAACGUGCUGAAGUGAUGUGUGGGGGGGUCAACCUAUGUUAAUUUACCCAAAGACAUUCUAUGUAGUAUUUAGAGCUAUAAGCCCUGAAAGGACUUGCUUGCUUUACAACCCGUUCAUCCCUGGAGAAUUGGAAUUGAUUGUCUUCACACAAAAAAACUAUUUUUGAGGGGGGUGACAGAGGCAUGGGUGCCAGGUGAGGGUAGAGUGGUGGAGUGACAGAUGAUCCAGUGGGGUCCCCUAAUCCAGGAGGAAACAAAAUGGUGUGUUUUCAAGUUGAGAACAAACCUGCUACAGUUGAUAAUGGAUGCCAGUACGGCCAUGCCAUGUCUAACACCGAUGUUUCUGUGCUUUCACAGACCAAGAUGGCCUGGACAACAAUAAAGAAUAUACUAUUUUUGUCAUUUUUUGGAGACGGUUUUCUGUUUUAGUUUUUUUGCCUACAAAAAUGUUUGAUAUGAAAGUCUGUUUUAAACAUGUAUUGUUUGUUUAAUCACAGUAAAAGAGCUUAAUAAAACUCUAAUUUGA